rnacentral:rRNA from 1 species
UACGUAGGUGGCAAGCGUUGUCCGGAAUUAUUGGGCGUAAAGGGUGCGUAGGCGGUUUGGUAAGUCUUGUGUGAAAUCUCCAGGCUCAACUUGGAGUCUGCACGAGAAACUGCCGGGCUUGAGUGUGGGAGAGGUGAGUGGAAUUCCUGGUGUAGCGGUGAAAUGCGUAGAUAUCAGGAGGAACACCUGUGGCGAAAGCGGCUCACUGGACCACAACUGACGCUGAUGCACGAAAGCUAGGGGAGCAAACAGG